CUCAGUUUUCAGCAUCCUCAUUAGUUACCCAUCAGCCUGAUUGACAGGUCAGCCAUCACAUGUAAAUCUGGCAAUUUGUUUCAGAUGGCGGUUUCAGGAUGAGGCAGGAGGUAAUGGAGGAAGCAACACCUAGUCUACGUCACAUACUGACUGGUAGUCCUGUCUAUACACUGGUAGUACUGUAUACACACUGGUAGUCCUGUCUAUACACACUGGUAGUCCUGUCUACACACAGUGGUAGUCCUGUCUAUACACACUGGUAGUCCUGUCUAUACACACUGGUAGUCCUGUCUACACACUGGUAGUCCUGUCUAUACACACUGGUAGUCCUGUCUAUACACUGGUAGUCCUGUCUACACACACUGGUAGUCCUGUCUACACACUGGUAGUCCUGUCUAUACACACUGGUAGUCCUGUCUACACACUGGUAGUCCUGUCUACACACACUGGUAGUCCUGUCUAUACACUGGUAGUCCUGUCUAUACACUGGUAGUCCUGUCUACACACUGGUAGUCCUGUCUAUACACACUGGUAGUCCUGUCUAUACACUGGUAGUCCUGUCUAUAUACACUGGUAGUCCUGUCUAUAUACACUGGUAGUCCUGUCUACACACUGGUAGUCCUGUCUACACACUGGUAGUCCUGUCUAUACACUGGUAGUCCUGUCUACACACUGGUAGUCCUGUCUAUACACACUGGUAGUCCUGUCUACACACACUGGUAGUCCUGUCUAUAUACACUGGUAGUCCUGUCUACACACACUGGUAGUCCUGUCUAUACACACUGGUAGUCCUGUCUAUACACUGGUAGUCCUGUCUACACACUGGUAGUCCUGUCUAUACACUGGUAGUCCUGUCUACACACUGGUAGUCCUGUCUACACACUGGUAGUCCUGUCUAUACACACUGGUAGUCCUGUCUAUCCACUGGUAGUCCUGUCUACACACACUGGUAGUCCUGUCUACACACACGUAGUCCUGUCUACACACUGGUAGUCCUGUCUAUACACACUGGUAGUCCUGUCUAUCCACUGGUAGUCCUGUCUACACACACUGGUAGUCCUGUCUACACACACUGGUAGUCCUGUCUAUAUACACUGGUAGUCCUGUCUACACACACUGGUAGUCCUGUCUAUACACACUGGUAGUCCUGUCUAUACACACUGGUAGUCCUGUCUACACACUGGUAGUCCUGUCUAUAUACACUGGUAGUCCUGUCUAUAAACACUGGUAGUCCUGUCUAUAAACACUGGUAGUCCUGUCUAUACACUGGUAGUCCUGUCUAUAUACACUGGUAGUCCUGUCUAUACACUGGUAGUCCUGUCUACACACUGGUAGUCCUGUCUACACACAGUGGUAGUCCUGUCUAUACACACUGGUAGUCCUGUCUAUACACACUGGUAGUCCUGUCUACACACUGGUAGUCCUGUCUAUACACACUGGUAGUCCUGUCUAUACACUGGUAGUCCUGUCUACACACACUGGUAGUCCUGUCUACACACUGGUAGUCCUGUCUAUACACACUGGUAGUCCUGUCUACACACUGGUAGUCCUGUCUACACACACUGGUAGUCCUGUCUAUACACUGGUAGUCCUGUCUAUACACUGGUAGUCCUGUCUACACACUGGUAGUCCUGUCUAUACACUGGUAGUCCUGUCUACACACUGGUAGUCCUGUCUACACACUGGUAGUCCUGUCUAUACACACUGGUAGUCCUGUCUAUCCACUGGUAGUCCUGUCUACACACACUGGUAGUCCUGUCUACACACACGUAGUCCUGUCUACACACUGGUAGCCCUGUCUAUACACACUGGUAGUCCUGUCUAUCCACUGGUAGUCCUGUCUACACACACUGGUAGUCCUGUCUACACACACUGGUAGUCCUGUCUAUAUACACUGGUAGUCCUGUCUACACACACUGGUAGUCCUGUCUAUACACACUGGUAGUCCUGUCUAUACACACUGGUAGUCCUGUCUACACACUGGUAGUCCUGUCUAUAUACACUGGUAGUCCUGUCUAUAAACACUGGUAGUCCUGUCUAUAAACACUGGUAGUCCUGUCUAUACACUGGUAGUCCUGUCUAUAUACACUGGUAGUCCUGUCUAUAUACACUGGUAGUC
rnacentral:lncRNA from 1 species